ACCCCACUAUGCUUAGCCCUAAACUUAGAUAGUUAAUUUUAACAAAACUAUCCGCCAGAGAACUACUAGCAACAGCUUAAAACCCAAAGGACUUGGCGGUGCUUUACAUCCCUCUAGAGGAGCCUGUUCUA
rnacentral:rRNA from 1 species